CUGCACUUGCAUCUAGCUUCUGCCUGCAAGCCUGCACUCCGCGGGCCUCCAUCACCCAGCUGCCGUGAGCUCAGCAUGCUGCUGGAGAAGAGACUUCUUGGCAGCCAACUGGAAGCACCGCCCAGGGCCAUGAAACAUGUGUGGCCUUUGAGAUUCGACACAUCUGAAUCUGAAUUUAUGCUGUAUCACUUGCCCGAAUCCACUGAGCUACCAUUGUGGGGUCUGACCAGAGCAACUUUUAGUCUUGGGCCAGUUUUGCUCUGCUACCUGAAGAAAAGCCUGUCAACUGAGGGGUCUGAUCCAGGCUGGGCUUGACUGGGCUUUGCUCCAGGCUGCGUCUAGUUCUCUUCUGUGUGUCUUUCAUCCUCCUGGACCAGCUAGCAAACUGUGGCGUCCUCUUCUAUGGUUAUGAUGGAAAUGCAAAAGCGUGUGGCUUUGAGGAUUCACUGAAUAAGAAUGUGGAUUGUGAAGAUCAGCCAGAAGAGCUGCCUGAAAUGCAAGUCCGUUCUCCAAGGGACGAUCUCCCAGGGGUUAAGGAACUCAUCUGAAGCAAGCUGCCUGCUCCUGUUCCCGCUGGGCCCCAGAGGUUGCAACUUCCUUUGCUGUGGAAACAGCUGUGGCCUUCCCAGACACACGAUGCUCAGGUGCACAGGUUACACGGAUCUCACAGUCAUCUUGAGACUGUGCAGGGCCAGCACUGGCGACUCCAUGUGCAGGGAAUGCCCACAGAGCCAGAAGGCCGGCGUCCCUCAGGCCCGCUCUGUAAGUGUGGAUUCGCAUGGAGAUCUGCAACCAGGACUCAGCCACCGCACCGUUCACGUUUCUGUCCUAGGGAGAGCCUUGCUCCCUUUCACUCCCUGAGCUAUUCUUCUUCAUUUUGCCAGGAUCCACUCUAUGAUGUCAAAAAGCGCAGGAACCUCGAGCAUUCAGGAAAAUGGGAGGAGCCUUGAAUGCAGGCCUUACCCUUCCUGCCCGUGGUCGGGCAGCCUCAGCCUCGCCACUCACCCAGGCUCCCUCCCCAGCUGCGCAUGCCCAGCAGGUGACGUGCUACCUGUCCCUGCAGGUGUUCCAGCCAAUGUGGAGACCACCUGGGGGACCCCUUGCCCGGUGUGUUAGGUGACUUCCACCCCUGAAAAUCCUGGGGUCUCUGUUACUUGUUAUCAUCAACUACUUAGGCCAAAGAGCUGUUUUUGAGUUUUUAGCACAAUAACUCCACGAAGUGGGUUAAAUUGUGUCUCCCCAAAAGAUAUGGCCAAGUCCUCACCCCCAGUACCUGUGAGUGUGGGAUAUUCCCUUAUUUGGGAACAGGGCCUUCGCAGAUGUAAUUGAGUUAAGAAUCCUGAGAUGAGAUCAUCCUGGGUUUAGGGUGGGCCCUAAAUCCACUGACUGGUGUCCUUAUAAGGAGAUAGAGAUUUGAGACACACGGGGGAAAGCUGUGUGGAGAUGGAGGCAGAGACUGGAGUGAUGUGUCUACAAGCCACGGAAUGCCAGGGAUUGCUAAGGGCCACCAGCAACUGGAAGACGCAAGGAAGGCUCUCCCCUGGAACCUCUGGAAGGAUUGAGGCCCUGCGGACACCUUGGUUUUGGACUUCUGGCUUUCAGAACUGUGAGAGAAUGAAUUUCUGUUUAAGCCACCCAAUUUGGGAUAAUUUGUUACAACAGCCCUAGAAAACUAAUA